GCAAGUCGAGGGGCAGCAUUAUCGAAAGCUUGCUUUUGAUAGAUGGCGACCGGCGCACGGGAGAGUAACGCGUAUGCAACCUACCUUACAUUGGGGGAUAGCGCAGAGAAAUCAGGAUUAAUACCGCAUAAUAUAUUUGAAUCGCAUGGUUUAAAUAUUAAAACUCCGGUGAUGUAAGAUUGGCAUGCGUAGCAUUAGUUAGUUGGUAAGGUAACGGCUUACCAAGACAAUGAUGCUUAGGUGGUCUGAGAGGAUAGUC
rnacentral:rRNA from 1 species